AGUGUAAAUAUAAGGGACCCCUGUGAAAGGGUCAUUUAAUCCCCAAGGGAUUGUGACCCACAGGUUGAAAGUCUGGGUGACAGUCCAGAGCGAAUAUGCUAAAAUUAAGAGGAAUCUGUAAGCCUUUACACCUUUAAUGGCCUUCUGUUCUGCCGGGGACAAGUGAGGAAGAGCAUCAGGUCUUAAGAGCCAAGCUGCCCGGUGUUCAGCCUAACCCUACUCCUACUGAAGACCCAGGCCAACUUCUGCUUGGUACACCUUCAGUUUUUCCAUUUGCAAAGUAAGGCUAACACAUUGUGUAGGGCUGUCUAAGAGUGUGAAUUAUGGCCCAGUGCACCUCAUCUUCUGUAUGUCUUUGAGGAAGCUACAGUUUUGCACAUUAUCCAUCCAUCCAAGUGACUUUUGGAGCUAAGCCUGACUCUGGGUCCACAGGCUGGUUAGAUAGCCUAUUAUCUAUCACAUGCCAACACCAAGUACCAGCUAGUGUCUCCACUUCUGUUCUUCAUGAAUUGUUUGAUUAUUCUGUUGCAUUUGGUCUCACCUCAUAAGAGUGACUGGGAAUAGGAUGAAAUCAAGUGCCUGUGGUAGUAACAGCUACAGCUCUCAACUCACAGAUGUUUCCAGCAAAAGCAGACAUCCUUAUACAUAUUGAAAAUGGGGAUCUUAAGUGCUCAGUUAAAUUUUUGUCUCGCCAAAUACACCAUCUCACUUCCAAUGACAAAGGGCAAGGACAUUGGGAUGCCUUUGGAAAACAAACAAGUGCUGGGAUCUAAGAUGUAAGGCGUGCUCAGGAAUACGCGCAGUAUCUUUGUUUCAUUUUUUGAAACUAGAUGACAACUCCCAUGAAGCUGAGCACAUGGGAAUUUCAACUUAAAUCUGUAGACUAAAAAGAAAAACUGCUUUCAAAAAUGGGACAUAAACAAAAUAUAAUAAUAAUAAAUAUAAUUAUCAACAAUAUCAAUCUCUAUUUUCUUUCCCACAACAAGAUAAACAUUUUUUAUAAUUUAUAAGAUCAUAAUGUCUUUUUUAUAAAUCUGUAUUUUUCAUAGGCUGAAGUUCCUUCAAGGAGCCAAUCCAUUUGCCAAAUUCAAACAGCAAACGAUCCCUGUGCCAGACUGUGACUAAGAAACAUAUAAUCAGAAAUGGUGGUGAAGAUUCUCCACUCUAAAAUGCUUAAAUAAAAUGCUCAAUAAGGGAUCAUUAUAAAAACAGCCAAUAUUUUGAUCAUUAAAAAGGAAGGCUACCUGUAUAAAUGUGAACAAUCUCUUUUUAGUACACAAAAAUCUUAGUGUUAAAUUUAUGUAUUUAUUUGCAUAAGUGACACACAGAAUUCUGAACACUCUCUUACAACUUUCUGUCAAAUAGGUCACUGUGUCACCAGGGGCUGUGGAUUCCAUGGAAAGUUAAAGGAAGAGCGAGCAAGAGGGCACCGGUGGCAGGAGCUCUGGCACUUCCACACCAUGCCUCUGACACUCUUCUCUUUCUGUCUUUCCCUUUUGGUGUGGCUGGGAAUUGAACUGGGAGCCUUGCACACACUAGUGUGUUCUCUGCCAUUGAGUUCUAUCCCAGCCUGAUUUUGUAACUUAAAAAAAAAAAAAGCCUAUCAGACUCUUACAUUCUUCCAAUAUGAGGAAGGAAUUCAAACUUAAAGCUUACAAUCCCACCCCCUCCACUGAAGAGGAAAUAUUUUUUAAUAGAAAUUUGAAACAACUUCACCAAAUAUUAAGUGAGCCUUUAGUAAUCAGACCACAUUUCAUACAACACCUCAAAAACAAAACAAACAAAAAAACCCCAAAAUAACAAAACAAAACAAAACAAAACCCAACCAUCUUUCUGGAGCCCCCCAAGACUUUUUAGCCUGAGGGGUUAAAAGUGUGGGUGUGGAAGUCAGCUUUUGUUUGAAAAAUUAGCAAUGCUAUGAGUCACCCUGCAUUAGCAGCGGAGGAGUUUUGCAUCUUGUACGAAUCCAGACACCAUAUGCCAUGCGAAGGCCUAUUACUUUAUUCGGUGCCACCGCUGACAGGCAGCCACGUGGGUAUCCCCAGUGGAAGGGCUGUCUCCUCCCGGCGGCGAGGACAGGAACCCAGUGAGCUGAACACAUCCGACAUUGUACAGAGCAGCAGGAACAGCUGGUAAGCUAUCGAGCAGCAAGGGCUAGCUAGGAGCGCAGAUGCUAAUGAGCCUGGCAAUGACAAUGCAGGCCUUCAGAGGAGCCAGCCCAGCGUCUAUGUGUUCUCACAAAGCCUGAGAGGAGAAUCUGCUCCUUCAUGCCUUCAGUCUCAUUAAAACACAUACUGGUGUUAGUAGUUUAUCAAAAGCUGCUGUAACUUACAAGUUAUAACUCUCCCCAACAGUUUCAACGUGUUUUAAAAAGUGGCACUGAACUGUGUGGAGUGGCCCACGGGCCUGUUUGGGUAGCAGGGAAAUUUUAAGGGGCAAAUGGUGAGCAGUGGGCUCGGCAGUGCAAGCCGAGCAGCUGCUGCUGGGUUCAGGUCCCAGCUCCCACUCUCACGGAACUGUGUGGCCUCCAGCAGGUUGUCUAACCUCUCUGUGCUCCGCUUCAUAUCUCAUCAGAUGGCACACUCCUACACUGGCAUAAUGUGUUCCAAGGAUGUGGCUCUUUCCUUCAUCAGCUGCUGGAAGGACCCAUGGACUGAAUACACAGGUGGAGUUCUCAGUGCCUGGGCUGGGCAGAAGUUGUCGAACCUAAGUAAAUUGAUGUGUACUCCUGGGGACCAGCGCAUGGCACACUAAGAGGCUCGACCUCCUGGCCUCCCUUUUGUCCCACAACAUAAGCCAGCAGACAACUCCCGAGGGAAAGGUUUAAGUGUAAGGAGGGAGAUCACAGAAGGGUGUAGGGAGUUGUGGGAGCUCUAGGAAUUCCAGCCAGGAUUGCUAGUGGCCAUGGGUUGGAUGGGCCUAUUAGAAGCAUCUGGGGCUCCCUGACUGCUAAGAUCUGUGAUGGUUCUGGGUGUAGGGGAGGCUCUUGGCUGAAAAGUGUUCACUUUCUGAAUAGUCCUUGCCUCACUUAGGACUUGUGACUCCUGUUCAUUCUUCCAAGCCAGGUCAGAGACUUGGGAUACUGCUCUGUGUUCUGAGCUGAACCUGCCAUUGUAGCCAUUAAGAAACUGUAUUGCUCUUUGAUGUAACAGGCUGUCUUCCAGCAGCACCCCUUGAGGACCAGAGCCAUGCCUUCUGUAUGCUUACCCUCAGCAAUAGCAAGGGUCCGGCAGACAGAAAGACCAAUGGCUAUCUUGAUGAAUGAACAACAACAAAAACAGCAACAACAACAACAAAAACUAAUAAAAAUAAAAACCACAGUCCUGCUUCUAACCUCUCCUGUUCAGAAGCAGCACCUGGGAGUGAGACUGGGAAGAUAGGAUCUGCUGACCCUCUUUUUGCCAAUACAGUAUUAGAGGCACUUAAAGAAACAUAACUGCGUCAAAUGAUCAUCUCUCUACUGCCUAUGGGUGUGUGGGAACGUUAGAGGGAAGUGCCUGGCUUUGGAGGGUGAAACUUGUCUCCUUGAAGUUUUUAUGCCAGGAAAGUUCAAUUCGGGGCAUUUCAGAAGGUGACUUAUCUGCACUUUGGAAAAGCAAAAAAAAAAAAAAAAAAAAAUGCAGAUGCCUGGCAAGUGUAGGUGAGUGAACAUGGCAGUGAGGACAUGCUAGAAGGCUGCGCUUGGGGAGGAAGAGUAAAUACAUGCUAGCGAAGUUGCAGACCCCUAUGGCACCAGCUGCAGAGGAAGCUAAAACCCUACCUGAGGCCAGCUUGGACAAAUAGCAGUUCUAGAAAAACAACAACAAAAAGAAGCAGAGGAGGCCACAGCUUCAUCUGCGAGGGUCUUACACGCAGCAGGCACUAGACUGGGAUACUGCUUGCCCCUGCUGCCUGCAGCCUGUUGUACAGACAUCAUACCAUAGCAGCCAUGCCACUCGCACUCGAAUAUGCUGUUGCUUUCCUAUUUACCUUCCUUUACCUCUAGCCCUUACUUCUAAUUGUAGCCUGAAUCCCACACAGAAUGCCAGGACCACUGAAAGAAAACAGAAAAGCUAGAAGGGAACUCAGGUACACUGUCAGAGGAUACCUGGGCUAUUCCACAGCUCAUUCCCAGGCACAGGCUCCUGAGGCAUCCCAGUAGUCUAGGGAUAACCGGAUCGUCAUCCCGCAGCCUUUUAUAAUGGCCAAAAGCCAUCCAGAGACCGAUGUAACAACUACUGCGGACUGCCUUCUCAUGCUUUAUGAACAGCACAUCAAAUGAGCUCUUCAGGCACUGGGAUUUCAAAGAUUAAACCAAAGCAAAACAACCUGGUUUAUGUAUUUUUUGAGAUAGGGUUUCAUGAAAUUUUAACUAUUGAUCUUCCUGCCUCUACUUCCCAAGUGCCAGAUUUACAAACAUGUAUGACCAUGUCCUGCCAGUAACAAAAUGAAAAUCCCCUAAAAUCAACACACACACACACACACACACACACACACACACACACACACACCUUUAGUGUUUAAAAAUUAGCCAGAAUGGAAUUAAUUCUAGCCCAAGGCUCUAGAGUAGAUUCCACUGCCCAGGACACAGUGACAGUUAGUAGAGUCAUAGAGAGAAUGUUGGCACAUUUGUCUGUCUGGUUCACACAUGUAUGCUUGAACAAACAUGCACACAGUCCAGGCAGAGUCCUUCUUCCCUGUAUUAAGUUCCAGAGGAAUGGUGUUCCACGGCAGGGAGGGCUGAGCGAGCCGCCCGUCACGGAUGGAAUGUGUCCCUAGUGAGGGUGCUAUGAAUCUCUGCCAUGGAGCUGCCACUUCCACAGUCCGUGUAAUGCCACCUAAGUGCUCUGCCUCACAUGACUUGCUGUAGGCUGCUGAAGAUUAGAGCCAUCGAUCGCUCCCUGCAGAAGAGUCUUGCUGUGCAAAAGGAAAGUAAGCCGCAGAGACAAACAGCUCAAGUAUUGAUCUGCUCUGGUGGGGGUGGGGGGCUGCACUUCCAAAUGAAAAUCAGCUCUCCUUCCCAGCACCUACAAGGGUCACUGUAAUACGCAUGGGGACAUGACGAAGACGGUGUGUGGGGACAAACACUGCUGCCCCUCUCCUGUCAGUGGGUCACAGACCUCUCUGAGAAGCCAAGCGGCCACAUGAAACCUCCAGCUUUAUAAAAAAAGCCUGGCAACAUUCUAUACUGUCUGGGCAUUCUAUAUUCAUCCACAGCAGUGCUGGAGAACGGCUGCCAGAGGGCAACCUGAUGCAGGGGAAGCAAGGUAGAUGCAUUUCAAGAACAUCCUUCCAAUGACCGAGAGUCACCCCAAACUAGAAGUCUGGCUCUCACUGCCCAUGACACAAACCCUUUUCCUAUAGAAGAAGACCACGCAUAAUUUAAAGGCCAAUAUUUAAAAGACUGACCCCCAAAACAUUCAUUCUUCUUACGGAAACUGCCACAAUGUAAAUCAUAUGGCUUCCAGUAGGUUUUUUUUUUAACUUCUUCAAGCAUAAAAAUGUAAAUUCACCCAAAAAGUCAAAUGAAAUUAUGAAGUACACCAAAACUCAUGACUCUUGGCAGCUCUGUGCAAUGAACACAGGACGAGUACAGGUUAAACUGGGAAUACGGGAUCAGAGAGAUGGUUCAGUGAGUAAAGGUGCCUGCUGCCAGGCCGAAGGCCUGACCCUGACCCCUAGAAAUCAAACGGUAGAUAGAGAGGACAGGCUUCUGCAAGCAAGCGGUCCUCUGACCCCACAUGCAUGGCAUAAUCCACAUGCCACCCCUUAUGCCAAUUAAUAAAUAAAAAUGUAACACAACUUUAAAGGGGGAAAUUAAGAAAUCUAUAUAGAACUCAGAAGGCCCCUUUAUAUGUGCGUUUCUAUGGAGACAGCAGUAAACUGAACUGCAUUGCUUCUGUGAAUAUCCUUUGGAUUGGGUCAUUACUUAAAAUCAGUUUUCUCUUACUUUUUUCUAGGCAGUUCUCCCAUUUCUACUCCUGUCUACCUUUUUAUCUGAAUAUUUCUUGCUCAGUCAUUCCUGAGCCUAUCCCAGGACCAAGUGAGAGAUACCAACAACAGAACCCUCAUUCACUUUCUGCACACUAGGCUGUUGGGGUUUCCAUGAGUCUCUUACUGAGGUUCUGAAUUUCAUCACCUCAUAAACAGAAUCAUUACAAACCACUGACCCAAGGGUGGGGACAGAGUCACAAAUGAUGACAGGGAGGUUUGCCCUCUGCAGCUGAUGGACUCAUGGGAGAAAGACACAACAAUGAAAUGGCAAGAACUAAGAAAAAAUGAGGUAUCACUGCUCAAGGAAUAGAGCUUAGUAUUUAGGACAUUUUCUAACAGUCUAUGUUUUUAAAGAGAGACUGAGGAAAUGGAGGGAGCUAUGAAGAUGCUAGAAGGAGGGAUGGGGCAGACAGAGUUCUAGGCACAGAGUGUAGUUCUCGAGGCUGCCAUAUUUGGGGACCAUUAGAAAUAUUCUGGAUUUUUCUGUAGUAUGGAGGGUUUUGAGCUACCUGUUUUGAUUUCUGUGUGAAGGAAAAGUUCCUGCUUUCUGGAAAGAUCUGCAAGGAUAACCGGGAGAAGUAGUGAAGCUUGGAGGAGGCUGUGUACCAGUCUAGCAUGUGACAAGACUGGGGUGGGACUAUGUGGUACAAGUGGGAGAGGUUGCAUUUCAGUUAGAGUUUAAGGAUAAGCUUUUUGCAUAUACUUCAUUUCAUAAUAGUUAGCAAUAAUCUCUCUGAGGGAUUAUUUUCUUCACUUUACAAAUAAGGAAACAGGUAGAGUUAGAAUAUUUGUUGAAAACCAAAGAACUAGCUACCAGUCUAAAACUGAAACUCAACUUCUGUCUGAGGCCUGCUCUUAUACAUGUAUGCCUAAAAAAUGAUCCUAUAACAAAGACACUUUGAAAUGUGUCUAGCAUUUGUAGGACGACGACUGCUAUGGAGGAAAGGCAGUACACCCUGUGUUCUUUCUUCUUAAGACUUGUCACUGAGAAUAAGCACUUCACCACAGGAGGAGUGGGGGUAGAGCUCAGUGGUCAGAGUGAGUAUAGACAGCGUGCAUGUAGUACGUGGGUUUUAUCCCCAGUAGUGCAAAAAUAACCCCCAAACCUGCCUAAGUAAAUGGAUCCAGUUCUAUGGCAUUAGUGUAAGACACUGCAGAACAUGAGAGGUAAACACAGGCUUUACAUUCUUUCCUGUUUGUUUUCAAAUAAAUAAAAAUGUACUAUUCUAGUGUGCUAUCGUAGGUGACAAUCUACGUAAACUACCUGUGGGGUCAGCUCUCUGCCUCUCUCUCUCUCUCUCUCUCUCUCUCUCUCUCUCUCACACACACACACACACACACACACACACACACACACACACACACCACUUAGGAUUGCUCUGGAUCUCUAAGGCCUAGAUGACCUUGUUUGAUCUUUCUGACCCAAGAAGUGACCAGAGGGCAUAUGAUUUCAGAGAGGAAUGGCUAAGUGUACAAAACUCGACUCCAAGGUACUUCAGUGAAAUCCUAAGGGCUGACAAUCCACAGCAAAGUGGGCAGUAGGAAAUGCUCCCCUCAUCCAAACUCAAGCACAAACAAUGUCUCUGACAAGAGUCUAGUGCACCACUCGGGACUAAUUUAAUUUAACUAAUUUAACGUCUCUCUUGAUACACCUGUCUUUUUAAUGUAUGUAGAGUCACCAUAUAUGUUUAUCUUGUUGGGCAUAAAUUCUAUUUUCAAAAUUAACAAACAUACAAUAGUUGAAAUCUCUAAAUAUGUAAAAGAUUUUAUAAACAUGCUGCUUAAAUUUCAAACGAACUCUACUUUUCCUCUGAUAUCCAUAGUAAGCUCAGUUUCUUGAGCUGAAAAAAUUUAUUUUUCCUGACUUCAAUUCAUUUAAUUUUAAAUGUGUUAAAGAAAAAAACCCACAUAUCCUAUUUAUUUUCUCACAGGCAAGCUGAAUACCCAGCAAGAGAAUAUAAUGUGAUGACAGUUUCCAUCUUCUUUGGAGAGAGAGUUAUGAGUCUUGGGUGUGAAAGGCCCAGCACAAUGGAGACUGGUGGCAGCCCCCCCAUCGGCUCACCGCCUUCUUUAAAGUCCACAGAGGAUGGCAGUUUGGAUGGAAACCCCAAAAUCUAUUCUGUCCAUCUGUUUUAUUAUUCUUAGAACAACUGUCAAAAGUUGCCCAGGGAUCAAGUUGCAAACGUACUAAUUUGCCUUUGAAAAGUGGGCCCUGGGGGAAUUCUGGAACUCUGCUUAUAAAUGCAGAAUCCCCUCAGCCAGCCAGCCUGCCCUACCCUUUGUGGAGGUAUGAGACUUUGCACUUCCAGGCAUACAUCUGCCUCAAGGCUGGGAUGCCCUGAUAGACUUGCAUCCCACUUCAUAGGCAAAUGAAGGGGAGCCACAGGGACUUGGCAUCUUAAGGGCUGGCUUGUUCCCUGACAAGCAGACUGAGUGCUUUAGGAGGCAGCCCCUUCAUUGAUCAUGGGUGGAUGAAAGACCAAAGCUUUGUACUGGAGGGUUAAAGGCGUGAACGUGCAAAGGGAUACCCGUUCUGUACUCUUUUAUAUCCCUGGGCCAAACAGGAGAUAGGAGCCUGAAAUAAAACACUGAAGAAAUAAGCUGAAGAUAAAAAACUAUAAGCCACUGAACGUGGUGCCAUUUGUGUUUGUGGCUAUGCUGAAA
rnacentral:sRNA from 1 species